AACGAACGCUGGCGGCAUGCCUAACACAUGCAAGUCGAACGAGACCUUCGGGUCUAGUGGCGCACGGGUGCGUAACGCGUGGGAACCUGCCCUUAGGUUCGGAAUAACUCCCCGAAAGGGGUGCUAAUACCGGAUAAUGUCUUCGGACCAAAGAUUUAUCGCCUUUGGAUGGGCCCGCGUUGGAUUAGCUAGUUGGUAGGGUAAAAGCCUACCAAGGCGACGAUCCAUAGCUGGUCUGAGAGGAUGAUCAGCCACACUGGGACUGAGACACGGCCCCGGCUCCCACGGGAGGGAGCAGUGGGGUAUAUUGGGCAAUGGGCGAAAGCCUGGACCCGCAAUGGCGCGUGAGUGAUGAAGGGCUUAGGGUUGUAAAGCUCUUUUACCCGGGAUGAUAAUGACAGUACCGGGAGAAUAAGCUCCGGCUAACUCCGUG
rnacentral:rRNA from 1 species